rnacentral:rRNA from 1 species
AUGUGUGUUCUGAAGAAGAAAGGUGGUAUGGGGUUUAGAGACCUUCAUGACUUUAAGUUUGCUAUGUUAGCAAAGUAGUGUUGCCGACUUCUCCAGAAUCCUGACUCUUUGUGUGCACGAGUGUUGAGUGCUAAAUAUUAUCCUAAUGGUGAUAUCCUAAAGGCAGGACCAAAGAAAGGGUCAUCGAGUAUGUGGCAAAGCAUUGUAGCAGGAAUUCAGACCUUCAAAAGGGGUUGUAUAUGGCGAGUGGGCUCUGGUUCACACAUAAACAUUUGGGAUGACCCUUGGAUCCCAUCUAGUGAGUCAAGGAAAUUGACCACCCCCAGAGGAGGAAUAAUGUUAACAAAGGUGGAAGAAAUCAUUGACCCCCAUACUGGAUAG